rnacentral:rRNA from 1 species
UACGAAGGGGGCUAGCGUUGCUCGGAUUGACUGGGCGUAAAGGGCGCGUAGGCGGUUUGCUUAGUCAGACGUGAAAUUCCUGGGCUUAACCUGGGGGCUGCGUUUGAUACAUGCAGGCUUGAGUUCGGAAGAGGGUCGUGGAAUUCCCAGUGUAGAGGUGAAAUUCGUAGAUAUUGGGAAGAACACCGGUGGCGAAGGCGGCGACCUGGUCCGAUACUGACGCUGAGGCGCGAAAGCGUGGGGAGCAAACAGG